AAGAGGAUGGACAACAGGAGAUAUAAUUUACACUUUUUAUUUAUUAAAAGAAUGUCCCCUUUAAAAAUCAAGCAUCUCUUUCAAUCUCUUACGGUGUUUCUCCAACACACAUUUGCUCGGUAAGUCCUUUCCACAGGACUGGAUUUCAGGAGGAGAUGAACUCGAUUCAGCGGCUCUAAGACGCCUCUUUCCGUGUUUCUCCAACACACAUUGGCUCAGUAAGUCAGGACUGGAUUUCAGCAGGAGUUAAACUCGAUUCAGCGGCUCUAAGACGCUUCUUUGGCUCCUUUCCACAGAUAAUGAAGUUGAUGGAGAAGCAGUGGACUAUGGAUUGACUGAGAGGAUGGUUUCAUCCCUCUUUGAAGGAUCGUUUAAGAAGCAAGCAAAAUUCAACCGAUUUGUUCAGCAGUGGAAAGAAACCGCAGAAGUUGCCAGUUGCUGUUUUGCUGUGGUUAAAAUAUCGUUUCCUGUUUGGGGACGCGGGAUUCUCUUGUUGCAUCGAACGCUCGUGAUUGCAUGGAAUGCUCGCGAUCGCCUUGAACGUUUGCCUUGAAUGUUUGUACAACGCACACGUUGGAUACGACGCCUAUAUAACGCUCAUGUUGGAUACGCUCUAAACCCGUGGCUGUGGAAUCUGGCGCCAUCGGGGCUCGCUCAUAUCGCUGGCGGAUUUUCCUUUGAUUUGAGUUCAUUCAGUGUGUGUGUGUAUUUGGUUUAAAUGCGUGUGUAACAGAGGGAAAUUUCAAUUUCGUUUUGUUACGCUGCUUUAUUGUAUUAUCCUUAUUAUUAUUAUUAUUAAGUAUUGUUUAUUGACCAAUUUAUUUAGUUUUUUUCUUUAUUUGGGCUGGUUGUAUUCUUUCGUUGUCUCGCUUGACAUUUAUCCCGCUCUAUUUUGGGAGUUGAAUAAUUGUGGUUUAUUUGUUGUGUUGCUUUUUUUUGACCUUGGUUUAUCUGAUUGUGGUUGAGUGGGUUUACAGUAAUUAUAUCUUUUGGUUUUGGUUAGGUUGAAGUGUUUGAGUUGCAUUUGUUUUGUUUUCUGAAUGGAGUGGUGAAGUGUUUAAAGCGAGACAUAAUGUGAAAGGAAACCAACUGUACUUUUAUUUGUUGUGAAUCGUUUUUUUGUAAGUAUAGUUUUUUUCUUUUCUGGGUGCGGUUGGCCAGUGUAUGGGUGGCCGGCCCAAAGGAAACUGUCUGAACAAAGCUCGGUGGGAUGAUUCCUUCCUAUUUAUUAAAUUUGAUCAUCGAUGCUGAGCUUCAGGUGUUUUUUUUAAUAAUUUGAAUAAAUACAUUUUAGUUAGUGGGUUUGUCUCUGCUCGUCCUUUUCAUUUGUUUGAAAGCCUGUAAUUGGGGAGGCUCAGAAAUUGGGGUCUGAGUACGGGCUUUACCAGUGUAAGUUAAUGAUCGUCAGUCAUACGGUCACACUAACAUUUUAAGAUUAUUGUUUUAUUUCAUCAUAGUCAUGCCAUCCCAUCAUCAGCCUUCCCAGCAGCUUUCAUCAUUCCUAAACUUCCCAGAGAUGUUCAGACAAAGUUGGACCAAAAACCGCCAUGCAAAAUGGAGAGAUCCGAUCACAACAAAAUCAUAAGAACAUUGUAUGAAACCAUGGCCCUGAUCAAAAUGUAAGUUUUGCAACCCAACUAGAUCACGGCAUUUGAGUUAUUAAUAACUUGUAUGAUGUUACAUUCGUCACCUUCUUUUGCAUCGCUGUUUCCGGUUUCCGACCAAUUAUGACUAUGUGAAAGUGUGUAAGGCCCUGAUUUUGAAAUACCAUUUCUUAAAGGACAAAGAAGGCAUGGUUAUGUUAUUCCCUGUAUCUAUUAUCUGAUAUCGCUGUUCAUUUUGUUUUUGGAGUGGCAGUAUGAAGUUGUCAAUUGGUCACUUCUUAAAAAAUGUAUUUUUUUUUUUAAUGUUUUUUUAUAUCAGACACAACAUCCUAAACAUUGUGGGAUUUUAUUUUGGGAUGUUACAUUCUAUG